GUCUUCGAACGCCUCACCCACCUCUUCUCCGCCACCGAGUCCUCCCUCUCCUCCACCCUCUUCACUUCCCCACCCUUCCAAUCCUUCACCGUCCUCCUUCUAGAAGCCUCCCCCACCCCCUUCCUCAAUUCAACCCUAAACCCAAACCCUUUCUACAAACCCAUCACCAAACUCCUUAACCUUUCCAAUCCCAUCAACGACCCCGAGAGCGACACGUUCAAAACCCUCGACGGUGUUACCGUUGUUGGGUUUGUGUUGUUUUUUCCGAACUAUUCGACUUUUCUAGGGAAGCCAGGGUUUUACGUGGAAGACCUGUU
rnacentral:lncRNA from 1 species